AUUGAACGCUGGCGGCAUGCUUUACACAUGCAAGUCGAACGGCAGCGCGGGCUUCGGCCUGGCGGCGAGUGGCGAACGGGUGAGCAAUGCAUCGGAACGUGCCCAGUAGUGGGGGAUAGCCCGGCGAAAGCCGGAUUAAUACCGCAUACGACCUGAGGGUGAAAGCGGGGGACCGAAAGACCUCGCGCUAUUGGAUCGGCCGAUGUCCGAUUACCUCGUUGGUGGGGUAAAGGCUUACCAAGCCGACGAUCCGUAGCUGGUCUGAGAGGAAGACCACCCACACUGGGACUGAGACACGGCCCCGACUCCUACGGGAGGCAGCAGUGGGGAAUUUUGGACGAUGGGGGCAACCCUGAUCCAGCCAUGCCGCGUGCGAGAAGAUGGCCGUCGGGUUGUAAACCGCUUUUGUUCGGGAAGAAAUCCUCUGGGCUAAUACCCCGGGGGGAUGACGUUACCGGAAGAAUAAGCACCGGCUAACUACGUG
rnacentral:rRNA from 1 species